ACAACCACCCCCACAGUGGUUUUUAGUAUAUUCACACAGGUGUGAACUAUCGCCCUUAUGGAUAGAAAACCAUCUGUAAUCAGCCCCACAAAUUUCAUAAACCUCAGUAGUAGCCCCAGACCUUUUAUUUUGGUGGAGUAAUUGUAACUCUGAACCUUUUUAUCUUCUUCUCAUGUUGCCUCCUGGGACUUCCUCACUUCGCACAUAGUCAGGAUUCCAACCUGAGUGGCAGAUCUGGUUCCAGAGCCUGUUCUCUUUGCCCCUUUCAAUAAUCUGUGCAUAAUUUAAUGCCUUCUAUUUCAGGAUCAAAGAAAAAAUUAAAGACUUAAAUGUUAGACCUAAAACCAUAAAAACCCUAGAAGAAAACCUAGGCAAUAUCAUUCAGGACAUAGGGAUGGGCAAGGACUUCAUGUCUAAAACACCAAAAGCAAUGGCAACAAAAGCCAAAAUUGACAAAUGGGAUCUAAUUAUACUUAUAUAUACUUUGGUAAAAAUAAAA
rnacentral:lncRNA from 1 species